rnacentral:tRNA from 1 species
UGCUGUGUAACUCAGUUGGUAGAGUCUUCCACUGUUAAUGGAAAGGUCGUAGGUUCGAGUCCUACCACAGCAGCCA